rnacentral:rRNA from 1 species
UACGUAGGGUGCAAGCGUUAAUCGGAAUUACUGGGCGUAAAGCGUGCGCAGGCGGUUGUGCAAGACAGAUGUGAAAUCCCCGGGCUUAACCUGGGAACUGCAUUUGUGACUGCACGGCUAGAGUGUGUCAGAGGGGGUAGAAUUCCACGUGUGAGCAGUGAAUGCGUAGAUAUGUGGAGGAAUACCGAUGGCGAAGGCAGCCCCUGGGAUAACACUGACGCUCAUGCACGAAGCGUGGGAGCAAACAGG